rnacentral:sRNA from 1 species
AAAUAGCCCCGAUUGCAGUGGAAAUCCUGACAUUGCGUGCUGAAAUCUUCAAAGGAUUGCUUCGUGCCUCGCAAUGACAGAUUGCAACGGAAAGCGGGAAGACUU